rnacentral:rRNA from 1 species
UACAGAGGGUGCAAGCGUUAAUCGGAAUUACUGGGCGUAAAGCGCGCGUAGGUGGUUUGUUAAGUUGGAUGUGAAAGCCCCGGGCUCAACCUGGGAACUGCAUCCAAAACUGGCAAGCUAGAGUACAGUAGAGGGUGGUGGAGUUUCCUGUGUAGCGGUGAAAUGCGUAGAUAUAGGAAGGAACACCAGUGGCGAAGGCGACCACCUGGACUGAUACUGACACUGAGGUGCGAAAGCGUGGGGAGCAAACAGA